rnacentral:rRNA from 1 species
AACGAACGCUGGCGGCAUGCCUAACACAUGCAAGUCGAACGAGACCUUCGGGUCUAGUGGCGCACGGGUGCGUAACGCGUGGGAACCUGCCCUUAGGUUCGGAAUAACUCCCCGAAAGGGGUGCUAAUACCGGAUAAUGUCUUCGGACCAAAGAUUUAUCGCCUUUGGAUGGGCCCGCGUUAGAUUAGCUAGUUGGUAGGGUAAAAGCCUACCAAGGCGACGAUCCAUAGCUGGUCUGAGAGGAUGAUCAGCCGCACUGGGACUGAGACACGGACCAGACUCCUACGGGAGGGAGCAGUAGGGAAUAUUGGACAAUGGGCGAAGGUCUGAUCCAGCAACGCCGCGUGAGUGAUGAAGGCCGUAGGGUUGUAAAGCUCUUUUACCCGAGAUGAUAAUGACAGUACCGGGUGAAUAAGCUCCGGCUAACUCCGUG